rnacentral:sRNA from 1 species
GCUGGGUGUGGUGGCGCACGCCUAUAAUCCCAGCAGCUUGGGAGGCUGAGGCAGGAAGAUCACAGGUUCAAAGCCAGCUUCAG